CAAAACCUCUUUCCUCAUUUCUGUCGGUGUGCCAAUUUGAGGAAUUCAUCUUAAGAAAAUAAUUCAGGAGGGGCUCACAGAUGUGUGUACAAGGAUAAGCAAUGUCUAAUCUAAGCAGAAUGAAAACUAUGUUCAACAAUAGUGGUUUGGUUAAAUUAUUGUUAAUUCAAACAUAUGGGACAUUAUCCUGCCAUUAGAAUUUUUUGUGUAGAUACAUGUUACUUGAUAUGGAAAUCGCAGCUUGAAAAUUUAAAACAAUGAUAACUUGCAAACAAAUAAACAGUAUCAGACUAUUACCUGGAACACAAAUGAUCUAAGCUCAAAUAAAAUGUUUUAACACCGUUUCAGGACUUAUGUUUCAAGCUAAGUAACAAUAACAGUAAACACAGAUCUAUAUGUUCUAAAGAGCACUAACUAUUCCAGCAAGUAACCUAGUUUAUAAAUCUGACCAUUCCCUGUCAGACCAUGAUCACUAACUUCUGCUAUAAAAUAAUCAUAACUAGAGUUCCUGAAAUCCUAUAUGCACCCUUUCCUCUUGGGACUUACUUAAAUUCUGACAAAAUGAUGUCCCUUGCUCAGCACGUUUAAUAAACCCAAUUUUGUAUGUAUGUUCAAUAGGUUUCUUUAGUGGUCUUUGGAAGGGAAUUCAACAAAAGAGUUUUGUGAUAUGUUUUUGUUAUAUUUAAAAUGCAAUAUGCGUACUUUGAUUACGUGGUAGGGUUUUUAAUCAUUUCAAUUGUUUACAAAAUUAUCUGCAAUUUAUAAUUUUUACAUGAUAUUUAAUUUUUGUAAUAUAAAGAGGAAAAAUAAAUAAAAUAAUACCCAUUGAAAAGAAUUAAAUUACAUCUAAUAACCACUGCCUGUGUAAAGGGAGCCUUAGCCCACUUCUUCUUCUCCCUUCUUCCCACUCUAGUUCUUAUUUUCUCUUUGUAAAUCUGUCAUGCUUUAUGUCCAGAUUAUCAUAUUCAGUUUAAUGCAUAAUUUACAUUUCCUUCCAAAAAUACUUUUGGCACAUGUAUAUGACUAAUAUUUAUUUAUUAAUUCCACUUUAGUAACUGUAUACUCAGAUUCUCCUCCAUUGUUUCUUUUCAAUCUUCUGGAUCUGUCAAGAAUAAAAGAGGUGUUUUAAAAUCCCCCAGAGCGAUCAUCUUUCUACAAAUUAUUCUUUGUAUUUCAUGGAACUUUUGCUUUAUGAUUUCAAUGCUAUUAUUCAGUUCACAGAAAUUCAUGAUUUUUAUAUUGUCAUUGAGGAUUAUAACUCUUCCUGAUAUAAAAUUACAUUUCAGCCCCAUUUAAUGAUUUUUUGUUACAAAUUUUAAUUUACUUGAAUUAUUUAUUAUUUUAUUUUUAAUUGGCAGAAAAAUAUAUAUUUAUCAUGUAAAUUCUAAUUUAUUUGAAAUUUAAAGUUAC
rnacentral:lncRNA from 10 species